CCCUACGGGGGGCAGCAGUGAGGAAUAUUGGUCAAUGGUCGGGAGACUGAACCAGCCAAGCCGCGUGAGGGAUGAAGGUACAGAGUAUCGUAAACCUCUUUUGUCAGGGAACAAAGGCGGGGACGUGUCCCCGGAUGAGUGUACCUGAAGAAAAAGCAUCGGCUAACUCCGUGCCAGCAGCCGCGGUAAUACGGAGGAUGCGAGCGUUAUCCGGAUUUAUUGGGUUUAAAGGGUGCGCAGGCGGUCUGUUAAGUCAGCGGUCAAAGCCCGGGGCUCAACCCCGGCCCGCCGUUGGGUCUGGCAGU
rnacentral:rRNA from 1 species